CCCGACAGUAAACUGUCGGGCUAUUUUCAGGCGUCCCUACGGGACU
rnacentral:sRNA from 1 species